AAGAGGUGUAUUAACAAUUAGAGCUGCUAACUCCU
rnacentral:tRNA from 1 species